rnacentral:rRNA from 1 species
CGUCAAAGCUUGUAUGAAAGGCAUCACGUAAAUAAAUCAGGAACCCUGCCUCAGUACUGAGUAAUUCUAUAUCAAUAUAGAAAAUAUAAUGUUAAAACUAGUAACAUGAGGAUAAACCUCUCCUAAAUGCAAGCAUAAGUCAGAACGGAUUAAACACUGACAAUUAACAACUUAAACUAAAGUGACAACACCCAAGAAAACCUCACUUAGUCUCCCGUUAACCUAACACAAGAGCAUUUAAAGAAAGACCCAAAGAAAAAGAAGGAACUCGGCAAAACUGAUUCCGCCUGUUUACCAAAAACAUCGCCUCUUGAAAACCCAUAAGAGGUCAAGCCUGCCCAGUGACAAUGUUCAACGGCCGCGGUAUCCUAACCGUGCGAAGGUAGCGUAAUCACCUGUUUUCUAAUUAAAGACCUGUAUGAAAGGCACCACGAGAAUCACUCUGUCUCCUUUUUCUAGUCAGUGAAACUAAUCUCCUCGUGAAAAAGCGAGGGUAAUAAUACAAGACGAGAAGACCCUUUGGAACUUAAGACAAAAUAAUAACUGCAACCCCUAAAUUAACCUACACCUCCCCCAGCAUUUUAUUUGUAAGUCUUCGGUUGGGGCAACCGCGGAGUAAAAACUAACCUCCAAGCUGAACGGAGUUUUCCUAAACAAAAAGCCACACCUUUAUGUAUCAAAAAACUGACACUAUUUGACCCAAUAUUUUGAUUAACGAACCAAGCUACCCUAGGGAUAACAGCGCAAUCCACUUCAAGAGUUCAUAUCGACAAGUGGGCUUACGACCUCG